rnacentral:tRNA from 1 species
GUCCCCUGGGUCUAGAGGCCUAGGACUUUGCCCUUUCACGGCGGUAACAGGGGUUCGAAUCCCCUAGGGGACGCCA